CUUGAAUGUACCUGAUCUCCUCUGAUCUCAGAAGCUAAGCAGG
rnacentral:rRNA from 1 species